UAAAAGUUUUAUUCUAGCUUAAAAAAUUAAUUUUUAAUUUGAUUUAUAUGUAAAUUUUAGUAUAAAUAAAUUUAAAUUUAAAAAAUUAAAAUUUAAUUAAAAUCUCAGUAAAUAAUUUUAUAAAUUAAAGAAAUUUAGAUUUAGAAAUUUAAAAUAAUAUUAACAAAAUUUGUGCCAGCAGUUGCGGUUAUACAUAUAAUAUAAUUAAUUUUAAUUAGUAAAAAAUAAAUUUGUUUAUUUAAAGUAAAAUUAAAUUUAUUAAGUGAAAUUUUAAAUUUAAUAUAAUUUUAUUUAAGAAAAGUUAUAUUAGGAAAUUUUGAAUUAAACUAGGAUUAGAUACCCUAUUAUUAAAAAUGUAUUAAUAAAUACUAGGUGAUUAACAGUUAAGUUCUUGAAAAUUAAAGAAUUUGGCGGUGUUUUAGUCUAUUUAGAGGAACCUGUUCUAUAAUUGAUACUCCACAAUUUUAUUUACUUAAUUUAAUUAAUUUGUAUAUCGUCGUAGUUGAAUAUUUUUUAAGAAUUAAAAUAUUCAAAAAUUUUUAUAAAAAAAUAAAUCAGAUCAAGGUGCAGUUUAUAAUUAAGUAGAAAUGGGUUACAAUAAAGUUAUUUUUGGAUUAAAUUAUUUUAAAUAGUUAUGAAAUUGGAUUUAAUAGUAAUAAAAUUUAAUUAAAUUUUAUGAUUGUAGCUCUAAAAUAUGCACAUAUCGCCCGUCGCUCUCAUUUAAAAUGAGAUAAGUCGUAACAAAGUAGGAGUACUGGAAAGUGUUCCUAGAAAGUC
rnacentral:ncRNA from 1 species